GAUGAAGAACGCAGCGAAAUGCGAUAAGUAAUGUGAAUUGCAGAAUUCAGUGAAUCAUCGAAUCUUUGAACGCACAUUGCGCCCGCCAGUAUUCUGGCCAGCAUGCCUGUUCGAGCGUCAUUUCAACCAUCAAGCCCCAGGCUUGUGUUGGAGCCCUGCGGCUGCCGCAGCCUCCCAAAACCAGUGGCGGGCUCGCUAUCACACCGAGUGCAGUAGUUUACUCUUCGCUCAGGGCGUGUGGCGGGUGCUAGCCGUGAAACCCCCAACUUCUCAAGGUUGACCUCGGCUCAGGUAGGAAUGCCCGCUGAACUUAAGCAUAUCAUAAGCGGAGGA
rnacentral:misc_RNA from 1 species